UCACCGAUAGCCGACUCCUCAGCGGUAGCGCCCUCGACUGUCAAUCGAGCCGCCGUUGUUCGAAUCCAACUCGGGGAGCCA
rnacentral:tRNA from 1 species